GUAGGUCUUCUCUACAAUUCCUUCAGUACAAAUCAUUAAAUUACAAUCCCCUAAUUAUUUAAUAUUAUUUCUCCUUCAUACAUUUAUUAUGCUAUUUAGAUUGCUAGAGAAUGAAAAUCAUAUAUUAAGGUUUGUAAUCGUAUGAUAUCUGAUGAAUUAAUAAUUGUACAUUUUCUUUGAUCUUUUUAAAGAGCUUGUCCUAGAACAGCAAAAAUGCUUUUCAUAUAAUGAAACAAAAAUUCUUGCUACUAACAUUACUUUAUUAAAAUGUAAUAUAGCAUCGUUAUAGCAAUUUCGUCCAGAAUUUUAAUAACAUCACAUAUGAAUUUUCGGAAUGGCAUGUAUCCUAAUCAAAUACUGGUGUUUUCGCUUGGCAAUAUAACGACUAUGAAUCCUGAGAUGCGAGUAUGGGCAACUUCCUGGAUUGUUCCGCUUUCUACCUGUCUACGCGUCAGAGCGACAGGCAAUAUAUUUGAAUAUCUUGCCAUUGAUAUACAUAGUUAUACGUCAUUGAUCAACGCAGCAUAUAACGAUGCCAGAAAUAACGAGCUUCCUUUCUGGACGUCCUUCACUUUUGAAACACAAUAAAAAUAUAAAUAGAAAUCGCAGGAUGUUAAUUGCAUGAAGAAUUUGACAUACGACGACGCUUGCAACUGUUGUAACCGCAAUCAUGAUGGGAUUGUCAUACCAGACUUGACCCUGCGCCAAGUGCAUCGACAAAGUAAUGGAUCGACGCAAGGGCGGUCUGUGAACUAUGAGAUACCUCUGGCUUACAUCAUUCUUGUUAGCUUUUCGAACACAGAUUAUUCUUACAGAAAUGUUCCUUUUCCUGAAUAAUGUCAUGUUCUUUUAAAUUAAUGAGAUAGUCACUAUUUUAGUUUUAAUAUAAAUAUAUCUUUUCUGCCUUAUUAAAUUAUAAAAAAUUUUUCUUUUUGGUAUGCGGUACUAUUUAUAUACAAAAAAUUUGAAAAACAGAGAUAUUAAUAUGUCAUAAACUCCUCCUUAUCUACAUAUAUGUCUCUUUUCUUUUUCUUAAAUUAGUUUUUGUUAAUUUUUAGUUAGAUAAAAUAUCAAGAAAUAAUGUAGAGAAAUCACGUUUCUACGAAUACAUUUUUAAAAACCUUAGAAAGUGUAAACAUCGUAUAUAUAAUUAACCAACUUUCUUGGUUACAAAGUUUAAGAAUUUCGACAUAUCAGAAUAUAUGUAUACAAGAGAGAAACUAUUUUUAUCGCGAUACGUCAUUGCUCUGACUAAAGCGGAAGGCAUAAAAAACGUAACGUAUAUUAAAAUAGAACGAGAUCACUCGCUCUGAUGUUCUCUCUCUCCAUUUUUCCUUCUCCCACUCUCUCAGAGAUUAUAUUGAAUUCAUUGAAAUUUACGCUCGUUAGUGAUGAGGCUCGUGAAUUGCAGGACAUUCCUUCUCAGAGGCGUAAUAACGAACCGCGAGACCUUGAUCGAAAUAACGUAGCGAGUACGGUAAAAAAAAAAAAAAA